AGAGAGAGGAGUGACUUUCUUUCAAAAAUACAGCAGCAACCGGUACAGCAGCAGCGGGUAUGGAGGGUGUGAAACAUGGAUCAAUACGGAAAUAAAUAACGGGACCGGACGAUAUUAUUUAAACCAAAAAAAGAGGAGGGCGCAAAACACGGCGAAAAGUGGAUAUUUCAAGAAAGAAGAAACUGGGUGAAGUCAGUACCACACGUUUCAGUGUUGAUGUUGGUAUUUGGCCACGAAUACCUGCCGAAAAUAGUCCCGACUCUCCUUUAUUGAGGCUCCUCUGUCCUGUGUGACCCCCUGACACAUAGAGGAUGGUGAUGGAGGAGGGGGGACAGAGAGACAGAGGGAGGGGGACUCCAGUGACAGCAGAAGCAGAGGGGAGACAGAUUCUCGUAGAGCUUGGGGAGCAGAACUUGGAUGCCAUUUGUCUCUCUACGUAUCGAACAGCCUGCAAGCUCCGAUUCAUACAGAAGAGAUGCAACUUGCAUCUGAUCGACAUAUACAAUGUGAUUGAGGCGGUGCGGGACGCUGGUCUGAACGCUGUAGAGCUGAACGCCGGCAUCUCUGUGACCAGACUGGAGAACUUGGUGUCCUCCCUGUUCAACCAGCUCAGCAAGCGCCUGCCCACCACACACACCAUCAACCCGCGAGAGAGCACCGUCCUGCUAGUUGAAUUCAUACUGGCCGCCAUUGAGGGUGAGCCUGACAGCCGUCUGACGGUGCUCUCUGUGAAGGCGAUGUUGGCCACACUGUGUGGAGGGAAACUGGUAGAUAAACUCCGCUAUAUUUUUUCUCAGGUAUCGGACUCCAGCGGUGUGUUGGUACAGUCCAAGUUUGAUGGUUUUCUGAGGGAGGCUCUCAAGCUGCCCACCGCUGCACAUGAAGGCCCGUCCUUUGGCUACACACCCACCUUAGCACGCUCAUGCUUCCCACAACAGAAGAGGGUGAUGCUCAACAUGUUCCUCGAUAUCGUAGCUGACCCUCCUCCGUGUCUUGUCUGGCUGCCUCUCAUGCACCGCAUGGCCAACGUGGAGCAUGUUUAUCAUCCCGUGUCGUGCUCCUACUGUCGUGGCAACAGCAUGACGGGCUUCCGCUAUCGCUGCCUCCGUUGCCGCGGGUACCAGCUCUGCCAGAACUGCUUCUGGCGUGGCAAUGCCAGUGGCUCUCAUAGCAACCAGCAUCAGAUGAAGGAGCACUCAUCCUGGAAGUCAUCCGCGACAAAGCUUGGCCGAGCCCUGAGCAGGACUCUGGGCUGUGUGUCCUCCAGAGAGCCCCCUCAUCCUAUUUACCCAGAGGAACCUGAGAGGACCCUCAACCUCUCCAACAUAGUCCCCUCUCGCCCCACUGGGAACACCAGUGAAGCCAUGUUGCUGUCCUCAUCAGUGCCCGAGUCCUCCAAAAGUUUGGCUGCCGCUCAGCGUAUGAACGAGGAACACGCUCUGAUCGCUGCGUAUGUGAAUCGCCUCCAGACCACCCCAAGUAGUGUGGACAGUCCCAGCAGAGAAGAUGAAGAGCACAAACUGAUCGCCCGCUACACCUCCCGACUGGCAGAGACUGACAGCACAGGAGUGAUACCUAACCGGAGCAUCAACUUUGAUGUGAACAAACAGAAGCGGGAGCUCAUUGCUCAGCUGGAAUGCAAAAACAGAGAGAUCUUGGCAGAGAUCAAACGUCUCCGUGUAGAGCAUGACGCAGCGUGCCAGGCCAGUCCGGGGAAAGGCAGCACCAACCCGACUCUGCUGGCCGAGCUCCGUCUGCUCAGACAAAGGAAAGAUGAGCUGGAGCAGAGGAUGUCAUCUCUGCAAGAAAGCAGGAGGGAACUGAUGGUACAGCUCGAGGGAUUGAUGAAGCUGCUCAAGGAUGAGGAACAGCGACAGGCAGCGCAGGCGGCUGGCUCUUCUCACGCCUCUCCUUCUCGACCGAGCCCAUCAACCGUCCGCUCCGUAGGUGCUGCAUCUCCCCAGGCUCACAUGUACGCUCCUCAAGAUUCACUCGCUGGGGUUGGUGGUGAUGUACAAGAAGCGUUUGCCCAAGGCCCAAGAAGGAACCUGAGGAAUGACCUUCUGGUAGCAGCCGACUCCAUCACCAACACUGUGUCCUCACUGGUCAAAGAGCUCCACUCUGAUGAUGUUCGGGAGGAAGAGGAGAGAUUGCUAAACGGGAAGAAUAGAGGUGCUCUCUCUUGUCUGCACUGCAGAGCAAGCUUCAUAAAUAUGCCAGCUCAUUAGCCGUGCUUUAUGGAGCCCCUCCUCUAUACAAGAGGACCGCCUGCAGAGACGAAGCUGUGAAACUACUUCCUGGUCUGCUCACUGAGCCCACACUAAACGCUUAUAAGAAUACUAACCUGCAGUACUAACCCACCGACCCCCCCGAACAGCCAGACAGACAGGAGGCCAGGGUUCAGCCCCACCGUUCAACACACAGGUUAAAAUGAUCGCAGGACAAACAAAAACGGCAGAGUGAUGUUUCAUCAAAGCCAAAGAAGACUGACCCUGGUGGAUUUAAAAUAUAGCUUCUUAUUUAAAUCGUUAGUCGGUGGGGGUUAGAGCUCCACUGCCAAUCAACCAAUCACGAUGCUGGACACCAAACGACCGCUGGGUUCCUACUGAUGUAUAGCUGUGAUUCUGUGUGUGUCUUGUCACUGUGGAUUUACUUUUGUUUUGAUUUGAUCAUGCAUAGCUAAACGAGGAAUCUGAAACCUACUGAUUUAUGUGUGUGUGUGUGUGUGUGUGUGUGUGUGUGUGUGUGUGUGUGUGUGUGUGUGUGUGUGUGUGUGUGCGCUCUGGUUUUCGAAGUGGUCAAGUAAGUGAGAGGGACACCGUGAAGAGAUAGAAGGAUGUGUUUAGGAAAUUUGUGACGGAUAGUGCAGGAACGUUUCAGGAAGGAGAUCCAGGAUGUAACCACAGUGGAGAGAAAAAGUGGAAAAACAAAAGAGAGUCAAAAAAAA